ensembl:lncRNA
AACACACAAGCCUGCCUUCAAAGGAGACACAAGGGGAGAAAAUCUCACAAAUGGCAACAGGACCAAAUGUGAGGUUUGGAAGGUCAAAAGUUUUACUCAUACGUGAUAUAUGGUAGAUACAUGAAGUCAAAUGCCUGUAUCAAAGGAGUUAUGACGCUUCAGAUCACUCUCGUUUGGCUACGGCACGUGCUUCCUGCCCAUCUCCUGCCCCCUCCUCAACUCUGCCAUAGCACGGGCUCCAGAGCACAUGGGCUCAGCAGUUGCAGCUCAUGGGCUUAAUUGCUCCAUGGCACGUGGAAUCUUCCUGGGGCACGUGGAAUCUUCCUGGACCAGGGAUCAAACCCAUGUGCCCUGCGUUGGCAGGCAGAUUCUCAGCCACUGAACCACCAGUGAAGUCCUAUACAAAGUAAUUUUUCAGUCUCUUGGGGAGAAGGGUAUAUAACUCAGAGUGUCGAGCAAUUUCUUUCCUCUGGAAUGAGAACACUUAAUGGGUGCAUAUUAAAAUGUUCGUUAAAGGCAAACUACUUAAUCAUUCGGAAAACCUAUUGAAAAAAGUAAUGUGUGAGAAGUUUCACCUCUUUAUGUCCAAGUUGCAUAGAUGUGAAGUCCAACUUGUUUCCU